rnacentral:rRNA from 1 species
AUUGAACGCUGGCGGCAGGCCUAACACAUGCAAGUCGAGCGGAGAGGCGGACGGGUGAGUAAUGCCUAGGAAUCUGCCUGGUAGUGGGGGAUAACGUCCGGAAACGGGCGCUAAUACCGCAUACUAUCAGAUCAGACUCGGACGGAUUAGCUAGUUGGUGGGGUAAAGGCCUACCAAGGCGACGACCCGUAACUGGUCGGAGAGGAGGAUCAGUCACACUGGAACUGAGACACGGUCCAGAUGCCUACGGGAGGCAGCAGUGGGGAAUAUUGGACAAUGGGCGAAAGCCUGAUCCAGCCAUGCCGCGGGUGUGAAGAAGGUCUUCGGAUUGUAAAGCACGUUAAGUUGGGAGGCGUUACCCACAGAGUAAGCACCGGCUAACUUCGUGCCAGCAGCCGCGGUAAUUC